UAAAGCCGGGCACUCUAAGGGGGACUGCCAGCGACAAGUUGGAGGAAGGAGAGGAUGACGUCAAGUCAUCAUGGCCUUUAUGCCUAGGGCCACACACGUGCAACAAUGGCCGGUACAGACGGAGGCAAUGCCGAGAGGCGGAGCAAACCCGAGAAAAACCGGUCCCAGUUCGGAUUGAGGUCUGCAACUCGACCUCAUGAAGUCGGAAUCGCUAGUAAUCGCAUAUCAGAACGAUGCGGUGAAUACGUUCCCGGGCCUUGUACACACCGCCCGUCACACCACGAAAGUUUGUUGUACCCGAAGUCGGUGCCUUAACCUCGCAAGAGGAGAGAGCCGCCCAAGGUAUGGCCGAUGAUUGGGGUGAAGUCGUAACAAGGUAGCCGUAGGGGAACCUGCGGCUGGAUCACCUCCUUUCUAGGAGAGAAGGGUCC
rnacentral:rRNA from 1 species